CCAACCAUGUGACAUACCAAACUGUUGCCUCGGCGGGGUCACGCCCCGGGUGCGUCGCAGCCCCGGAACCAGGCGCCCGCCGGAGGGACCAACCAAACUCUUUUCUGUAGUCCCCUCGCGGACGUUAUUUCUUACAGCUCUGAGCAAAAAUUCAAAAUGAAUCAAAACUUUCAACAMCGGAUCUCUUGGUUCUGGCNUCGAUGAAGAACGCAGCGAAAUGCGAUAAGUAAUGUGAAUUGCANAAUUCAGUGAAUCAUCGAAUCUUUGAACGCACAUUGCGCCCGCCAGUAUUCUGGCGGGCAUGCCUGUCCRAGCGUCAUUUCAACCCUCGAACCCCUCCGGGGGGUCGGCGUUGGGGAUCGGGAACCCCUAAGACGGGAUCCCGGCCCCGAAAUACAGUGGCGGUCUCGCCGCANCCUCUCCUGCGCAGUAGUUUGCACAACUCGCACCGGGAGCGCGGCGCGUCCACGUCCGUAAAACACCCAACUUCUGAAAUGUUGACCUCGGAUCAGGUAGGAAUACCCGCUGAACUUAAGCAUAUCAAUAGGC
rnacentral:rRNA from 1 species